rnacentral:rRNA from 1 species
AUUGAACGCUGGCGGCAGGCUUAACACAUGCAAGUCGAGCGAGCGGCGGACGGGUGAGUAAUGUAUGGGGACCUGCCCGGUAGCGGGGGAUAACUACUGGAAACGGUGGCUAAUACCGCAUACUAUUGGAUGGACCCAUAUGGGAUUAGCUAGUUGGUGGGGUAAAGGCUCACCAAGGCGACGAUCGCUAGCUGGUCUGAGAGGAUGAUCAGCCACACUGGGACUGAGACACGGCCCAGACUCCUACGGGAGGCAGCAGUGGGGAAUAUUGCACAAUGGGGGAAAGCCUGAUGCAGCCAUGCCGCGUGUAUGAAGAAGGCCUUAGGGUUGUAAAGUACUUUCAGCGGGGAGGCGGUACCUGCAGAAGAAGCACCGGCUAACUCCGUGCCAGCAGCCGCGGUAAUAC